CUCAUCCGUUUUGCUGAGAACCCUUUUUGCCUCCUUGUAGACUGGGGAAAGCAGGGCGCUCUAUAGUGUACACAGUCCUUGAGACCAAGUGGAAGGAGCCGUUCAGGACCAAGGACUAUUUGGAGCCCCUUUCUGUUUAGGGGAGAGUGAAAGGUGAGGCUGGACCAGGCAGGGAAGGGAGUCUAGUGUAAACUCGCCCUCCGGAGGGAUGGGAGCCCUUGGGUUCCUGUGGCUGCUGCCGCCGCUGCUUUUGACAGCAGCCUCGUACUCCGGAGCUGCAACCGAUCAGCGCGCGGGUUCUCCAGCCUCAGGGCCGCCUCUGCAGCCCCGGGAGCCGCUCAGCUAUUCGCGCCUGCAGAGGAAGAGUCUGGCGGUGGACUUCGUGGUGCCCUCACUCUUCCGCGUCUAUGCCCGAGACCUGCUGCUGCCGCAGCCACCGUCCCCCUCGGAGCCCGGGGCUGGCGGGCUGGAGGCGCGGGGAUCAC
rnacentral:lncRNA from 1 species